AGCGAACGCUGGCGGCAGGCUUAACACAUGCAAGUCGAACGGGCGUAGCAAUACGUCAGUGGCAGACGGGUGAGUAACGCGUGGGAACGUGCCUUUUGGUUCGGAACAACUGAGGGAAACUUCAGCUAAUACCGGAUAAGCCCUUACGGGGAAAGAUUUAUCGCCAAAAGAUCGGCCCGCGUCUGAUUAGCUAGUUGGUGAGGUAAUGGCUCACCAAGGCGACGAUCAGUAGCUGGUCUGAGAGGAUGAUCAGCCACACUGGGACUGAGA
rnacentral:rRNA from 1 species